rnacentral:rRNA from 1 species
CGCGUAGGCGGUUUGUUAAGUCGGAUGUGAAAGCCCCGGGCUCAACCCUGGGAACUGCACCCGAUACUGGCCGACUAGAGUACGAGAGAGGGAGGUAGAAUUCCACGUGUAGCGGUGAAAUGCGUAGAUAUGUGGAGGAAUACCGGUGGCGAAGGCGGCCUCCUGGCUCGAUACUGACGCUGAGGUGCGAAAGCGUAGGGGAGCAAACA